GAUGAACGCUGGCGGCGUGCCUAACACAUGCAAGUCGAACGGAGUCCAGCCUUUAAGACCUUCGGGUCAACGAGGGGAAGACUGAGUGGCGGACGGGUGAGUAACACGUGGGCAACCUGGCUCAUAGAGGGGGAUAACAGAGAGAAAUCUCUGCUAAUACCGCAUAAGCACACACUGCCGCAUGGCAGAAGGUGAAAAGAGAAUCGCUAUGAGAUGGACCCGCGUCUGAUUAGCCAGUUGGCAGGGUAAGAGCCUACCAAAGCGACGAUCAGUAGCCGAUCUGAGAGGAUGAACGGCCACAUUGGGACUGAGACACGGCCCAAACUCCUACGGGAGGCAGCAGUGGGGGAUAUUGCACAAUGGGGGGAACCCUGAUGCAGCGACGCCGCGUGAGUGAAGAAGUAUUUCGGUAUGUAAAGCUCUAUCAGCAGGGAAGAUAAUGACAGUACCUGAAUAAGAAGCCCCGGCUAACUACGUG
rnacentral:rRNA from 1 species